UGGAUGGGAAGAUUUUCAAUCAUGGAGAUUAUAAUUUCUUUUGCAGAAUGCUGAUAGGCCUAUGUCCAAUCCUCUUCCACCAUAGUCUGAAGCUUUUUAUAGUUAUUAGAAUGCAUCCUCAACAGAGCAUAUUUUAAAGAAGAAAAAUAUGCGACCAU